UCCGUAGGCGGGCAAUUAAGUCAGAGGUGAAAUCCCACAGCUCAACUGUGGAACUGCCUUUGAUACUGGUUGUCUUGAGUUAUAGUGAAGUAGAUAGAAUGUGUAGUGUAGCGGUGAAAUGCAUAGAUAUUACAUAGAAUACCGAUUGCGAAGGCAGUCUACUAACUAUAUACUGACGCUGAUGGACGAAAGCGUGGGGAGCGAACAGGAUUAGAUACCCUGGUAGUCC
rnacentral:rRNA from 1 species